rnacentral:rRNA from 1 species
GAGAACGUGAAACCGUUAUAGUGGAAGCAGAUGGAGCCGACGUAUCCAGUGCGUAUUUAGCCGUUGUCGGGUGCAAUUUGUUGGCUGUUAAAGUUCUGAAAAGUCUUCGGCGAACAAUUGUUGUGCUCGGUGAGCGGUGCACUUACGCACAGAGUGCGCCGAAUCGGCUGGACUUGGCGUUCGAGGCGCGGCCAAGAGGACCUGACAGAAAUGGCAGGAAACCUGGGCAUCGAGCGGGCGACGCAUGAGUCUGGCUGCGUUGCAUAAGGCCGGCUGAAUCUGAAGCAGAUGGGGAGAGUCUGAACGUGUUCGGAAUGCGGCGCAUGCGUUUCGUUGCGGAGCGGGCAACUUUCCGUGUGUGUUUCUCAGAACGGUAUUCGGUGUCUAGUCGGUGACCCAUUUGACCCGUCUUGAAACACGGACCAAGGAGUUUAAGGUGUGCGCGAGUCAUUGGGGGAAAAACCCAGAGGCGAAAUGAAAGUGGGACACUUGGUGUCUGUGAUGCGAUCCGUGUGCGACGAUUUUUUGUGCGUGCGGAGCAGCGUCGACCCAUGACCAGAACUUGUUCUGUUGUGGAGUCUGAGCGUACGCUUUGAGACCCGAAAGAUGGUGAACUAUGCCUGAACAGGACGAAGUCAGAGGAAACUCUGAUGGAAGUCCGAAGCGGUUCUGACGUGCAAAUCGAUCGUCUGAUUUGGGUAUAGGGGCGCAAGACUAAUCGAACCAUCUA